AUUGAACGCUGGCGACAUGCCUUACACAUGCAAGUCGAACGGCAGCACGGGUGCUUGCACCUGGUGGCGAGUGGCGAACGGGUGAGUAAUACAUCGGAACAUGUCCUGUAGUGGGGGAUAGCCCGGCGAAAGCCGGAUUAAUACCGCAUACGAACUACGGAUGAAAGCGGGGGACCUGCGGGCCUCGCGCUAUAGGGUUGGCCGAUGGCUGAUUAGCGAGGUGGUGGGGUAAAGGCCUACCAAGGCGACGAUCAGUAGCUGGUCUGAGAGGACGACCAGUCACACUGGGACUGAGACACGGCCCAGACUCCUACGGGAGGCAGCAGUGGGGAAUUUUGGACAAUGGGCGAAGGCCUGAUCCAGCAAUGCCGCGUGUGUGAAGAAGGCCUUCGGGUUGUAAAGCACUUUUGUCCGGAAAGAAAUCCUUGGCCCUAAUACGGUCGGGGGAUGACGGUACCGGAAGAAUAAGCACCGGCUAACUACGUG
rnacentral:rRNA from 1 species